rnacentral:rRNA from 1 species
GCGGUGGAGCAUGUGGUUUAAUUCGAAGCAACGCGAAGAACCUUACCAGGCCUUGACAUGCAGAGAACUUCCAGAGAUGGAUUGGUGCCUUCGGGAACUCUGACACAGGUGCUGCAUGGCUGUCGUCAGCUCGUGUCGUGAGAUGUUGGGUUAAGUCCCGUAACGAGCGCAACCCUUGUCCUUAGUUACCAGCACGUUAUGGUGGGCACUCUAAGGAGACUGCCGGUGACAAACCGGAGGAAGGUGGGGAUGACGUCAAGUCAUCAUGGCCUUACGGCCUGGGCUACACACGUGCUACAAUGGUCGGUACAAAGGGUUGCCAAGCCGCGAGGUGGAGCUAAUCCCAUAAAACCGAUCGUAGUCCGGAUCGCAGUCUGCAACUCGACUGCGUGAAGUCGGAAUCGCUAGUAAUCGUGAAUCAGAAUGUCACGGUGAAUACGUUCCCGGGCCUU